AUGCGUACUCGUUGGGUUCCACCAUAUUAUCAACGUGAAUUGCUUCAAAAAUCACAGCGCUUAAGACAAGGAAAAAAUUCUAUAGAAGAAUAUUAUCAGGAAUUACAAACUGGCAUGAUUAGAUGUGGUAUUGUUGAGGAGAAUGAAGCUAUGCUUGCACGUUUUCUGGGUGGAUUAAAUAGAGAGAUUCAGACCAUUCUAGACUAUAAGGAGUAUACUACUAUCACUCGUUUAUUCCAUCUUGCUUGUAAAGCUGAACGUGAAGUGCAGGAUCGACAAGCAUUGGCGCGAACUAACUUUUCUGCAGGCCGACCGUCAUCAUGGACAACGCGUGUAUCUUCUACUUCAACUGCACCAGCACCUCAAUUAGGUGCCUCCUCCAGUCGUGAUACAAGAAAACAGGCACAACCACCAUUAUCUGCCAAGAGCGCACCUGCUGGGCCUGCACGGAGUUCUUCUUCUUCCAUGGCAUCAACAGGGCACACAAGUGAUAUUAUUUGUCGUCGUUGUAAGGGAGGAGGUCAUUAUGCGAGAGAAUGCAAAUCUCCGCGUGUGAUGAUUGCUACCGCGGAUGGUGGAUAUGAGUCUGCUAGUGACUAUGAUGAGGAGACUUUGGCUCUUAUUACACGUGAAGAACAUGGUGGAGAUGAUUCUGAUCAUGAGACGCAAUACAUGGCUCCUGAAGACGCUGACAGGUAUGAAUGUUUAGUUGCUCAACGUGUUUUGAGUGUGCAGAUCACACAAGCUGAGCAAAAUCAGAGGCACAAUUUGUUCCAUACCAAGGGAGUUGUGAAGGAACGUUCUGUGCGCGUCAUCAUAGACGGAGGGAGCUGCAACAACUUGGCUAGCAUGGAGAUGGUGGAGAAGCUUUCUCUCACCACAAGACCACAUCCACAUCCUUACUACAUCCAAUGGUUCAACAACAGCGGCAAGGUUAAGGUAACACGUACCGUUCGUGUGCAUUUUAGUAUCUCUACAUAUGCUGAUUAUGUUGAUUGUGAUGUGGUACCUAUGCAAGCAUGUUCCUUAUUACUUGGUAGACCAUGGCAAUUUGAUAAAAAUUCUGUACACCAUGGUAGAAACAAUCACUAUACUCUUGUUCAUAAGGAUAAAAAUAUUACUUUGCUUCCUAUGACUCCUGAUUCCAUUUUGAAAGAUGAUAUUAAUAGAGCUAAUAAAGCAAAACAAGAGACGAAUAAGAGUGAAAAUCAGAUUGUGGCAAAAGAAUUUGAGCAACAAAUGAAGCCUAAUAAUAAACCAUCUAGUGUUGCUUCUGAAAUUAAAUUGAAAAGUGCAUGUUUAUUUGCCACCAAAUCUGAUAUUGAUGAGCUAGAUUUCAGCAAAUCUGUUUGCUAUGCUUUUGUGUGCAAAGAGGCAUUAUUUUCAUUCGAGGACGUGCCUUCCUCUUUGCCUCCUGCUGUCACUAACAUUUUGCAGGAGUUCGCUGACGUUUUUCCACAAGACGUGCCACCGGGAUUACCGCCUAUUCGAGGGAUUGAGCAUCAGAUUGACUUAAUUCCCGGUGCUUCACUGCCAAACCAUGCACCAUACCGUACCAAUCCAGAGGAGACGAAGGAGAUUAUGCGUCAAGUACAAGGGCUUCUCGACAAAGGUUAUAUACGCGAAUCCCUUAGUCCUUGUGCUGUUCCUAUUAUUCUAGUGCCGAAAAAGGAUGGUACAUCACGUAUGUGUGUUGAUUGUAGAGGCAUUAAUAAUAUUACUAUUCGUUAUCGUCAUCCUAUUCCUAGGCUAGAUGAUAUGCUUGAUGAAUUGAGUGGCUCUACAAUAUUCUCCAAAGUUGAUUUGCGUAGUGGCUACCAUCAAAUUCGUAUGAAAUUGGGAGAUGAAUGGAAAACAGCUUUUAAAACUAAGUUUGGAUUAUAUGAGUGGUUAGUCAUGCCUUUUGGGUUAACUAAUGCACCUAGUACUUUCAUGAGAUUAAUGAACGAAGUUUUACGUGCUUUCAUUGGACGAUUUGUGGUAGUUUACUUUGAUGACAUAUUGAUUUAUAGCAGAUCUUUGGAGGAACAUUUGGAACAUUUACGUGCUAUUUUUAUUGCUCUACGUGAUGCACGUUUGUUUGGUAACCUUGGGAAGUGCACCUUUUGCACCGACCGAGUAUCUUUUCUUGGCUAUGUUGUUACUCCACAGGGAAUUGAAGUUGAUAAAGCCAAGAUUGAAGCUAUUGAGAGUUGGCCGCAGCCCAAAACGGUCACACAAGUGAGGAGUUUUCUUGGCCUCGCUGGAUUCUAUAGGCGUUUUGUGAGAGAUUUCAGCACCAUUGCUGCACCUCUCAAUGAGCUUACAAAGAAAGAUGUGCCUUUUCUUUGGGGUACCGCACAGGAAGAAGCCUUCACGGUAUUGAAAGCUAGCUCCGUUCGUCUUUUGAUGUUGCAGGAGGCGCAUGGAGGAGGAUUAAUGAGACACUUUGGCAUGAAGAAGACGGAGGACGUACUUGCUACACAUUUCUUUUGGCCAAAGAUGAGACAGGAUGUUGAGCGUUUUAUUGCUCGAUGCACUACAUGUCAAAAAGCUAAGUCACGACUCAAUCCUCAUGGUUUAUAUAUGCCUUUGCCUGUACCUAGUGUUCCUUGGGAGGAUAUAUCUAUGGACUUUGUUUUAGGUUUACCUCGAACAAAGAAGGGGAGGGAUAGCAUAUUUGUUGUCGUGGAUAGAUUCUCGAAAAUGGCACACUUUAUACCAUGUCAUAAAAGCGAUGAUGCUGUUAAUGUUGCUGAUUUGUUCUUUCGUGAAAUUAUUCGCUUGCAUGGUGUGCCAAAUACUAUUGUUUCAGAUCGUGAUACUAAAUUUCUUAGCCACUUUUGGAGAUUUUAUGGGCUAAGUUGGGGACUAAACUGCUUUUUAGUACUACUUGUCACCCCCAAACUGAUGGACAAACUGAAGUAG
rnacentral:rRNA from 1 species